rnacentral:rRNA from 1 species
UACUAAGUUUUCCCUCUUUCCUCGGAAUUACUGGGCGUAAAGCGUGCGUAGGUGGUUUGUUAAGUCAGAUGUGAAAGCCCCGGGCUCAACCUGGGAAUUGCAUUUGAUACUGGCAGACUAGAGUGCGGUAGAGGAGAGUGGAAUUCCCGGUGUAGCAGUGAAAUGCGUAGAGAUCGGGAGGAACAUCAGUUGCGAAGGCGGCUCUCUGGACCAGCACUGACACUGAGGCACGAAAGCGUGGGGAGCAAACAGG